rnacentral:sRNA from 1 species
GGCGACGGUGGCAGCGCCAUGGAGCCGGGGGAGGUGAAGGACCGGAUCCUGGAGAACAUCUCGCUGUCGGUGAAGAAGUUGCAGAGCUAUUUUGCUGCAUGUGAGGAUGAGACCCCUGCCAUCCGGAACCAUGACAAGGUCCUACAGCGUCUGUGUGAGCACCUGGACCACGCCCUGCUGUACGGGCCGUGCCUGGCUGUACCUGGCCCUCAAUGAGAACUCCUUGGAGAGCUACCUGCGGUUGUUCCAGGAGAACCUGGGCCUGCUGCAUAAGUACUACGUCAAGAAUGCCCUGGUCUGCAGCCACGAUCACCUGACGCUCUUCCUGACCUUGGUGUCCGGGCUAGAGUUCAUUCGUUUCGAGCUGGAUCUGGAUGCCCCUUACCUAGACCUGGCCCCCUACAUGCCCGACUACUACAAACCUCAGUACCUGCUGGACUUUGAAGACCGCCUUCCCAGCUCGGUCCACGGCUCAGACAGUCUGUCCCUCAACUCUUUCAACUCCGUCA